AACUUGGCAGAGAUGCCUUGGUGCCUUCGGGAACUCUCAGACAGGUGCUGCAUGGCCGUCGUCAGCUCGUGUUGUGAAAUGUUGGGUUAAGUCCCGUAACGAGCGCAACCCUUGUCCCUAUUUGCCAGCGAUUCGGUCGGGAACUCUAGGGAGACUGCCGGUGACAAACCGGAGGAAGGUGGGGACGACGUCAGGUCAUCAUGGCCCUUACGGGUAGGGCUACACACGUGCUACAAUGGCCGGUACAAAGGGUUGCGAAGCCGCGAGGUGGAGCCAAUCCCGAAAAGCCGGUCUCAGUCCGGAUCGGAGUCUGCAACUCGACUCCGUGAAGUCGGAAUCGCUAGUAAUCGUGAAUCAGAAUGUCACGGUGAGUACGUUCCCGGGUCUUGUACACACCGAA
rnacentral:rRNA from 1 species